rnacentral:tRNA from 1 species
GGCGAGGUGGCCGAGUGGUCUAAGGCGCACGGUUCAGGUGCAUCUGAAUCUUCGGGCUUAACAGCUUCCGUGUCAUGUAAAUGGCGUGGGUUCGAAUCCCACCCUCGUCA